GAUCAUUAUUGAAACAUUGUAAAGGAGAGUUGAGCUGGUCCUUUGAGGGCAAGUGCUCGCUGUUCUUUCAAUCUUCAUCCACCUGUGCACUUUUUGUAGAGAGUCUGAGAAACUGGAGCUUUUUAAGUAAGGCUCUAGAUAUUGGGCUCUUUAUGUUUUUAUACACACUAAUUGUAUGUUUGUGAAUGUCUUUAACAAGGGACUUAACUGGACCUUUUAAAAACUAUACAACUUUCAGCAACGGAUCUCUUGGCUCUCGCAUCGAUGAAGAACGCAGCGAAAUGCGAUAAGUAAUGUGAAUUGCAGAAUUCAGUGAAUCAUCGAAUCUUUGAACGCACCUUGCGCCUCUUGGUAUUCCGAGAGGCAUGCCUGUUUGAGUGUCAUUAAAUUCUCAACCUCAAAGACUUAUUGUUGAUGAGGCUUGGAUGUGGAGGCUUUGUUGGCUCAUUUAGAGUCGGCUCCUCUUAAAUGCAUUAGUGGAAACUGUUUUGUAGUCCGCAUUGGUGUGAUAAUUAUCAGCGCUAUUGUUGGCUAUGAGCUCAUGUGGUGUUCGUAUGGAAAGUGCAUGAAAGUGCUCUCUCUGCUUCACUUUGACUUACAUGAGUAAAGUAUCUGCUUCAANCUGUCCUAAGUUAUUGGACAAACACUUGAUUAUUUUGACCUCAAAUCAGGUAGGACUACCCGCUGAACUUAAGCAUAUCAAUAAGCGGAGGAAAAGAAGCUAACAAGGAUUCCCCUAGUAACUGCGAGUGAAGAGGGAAAAGCUCAAAUUUAAAAUCUGGCAGCUUCGCUGUCCGAGUUGUAAUUUAGAGAAGUGUUACCCGCGUUGGACCGUGUAUAAGUC
rnacentral:rRNA from 1 species